rnacentral:lncRNA from 1 species
UUUGGUCAGCUACAUGGGCUUGGCCCAUUAAUUCGGCCUUUUUGCUUUAUAAGAUCUAGCCUUUUCACAUUCUAUAUAAUUUCUAUUUUCGGAUUUUCUUUGUUUUUUUUGUUACAUUCAAUUUUCAGAUUAUUGUACUCAACUGGGUGCACAUUGCUUGUAGUCAACAUACCGAUAUACCAAUCAUCAAGUUUUAAUUUUUCACAGCUUGUAGUCAACACACCGAUUCAAAUAACAGCCAAACUCAGUUUAUUACAUUAUUCCACACAAUCACAAUAUACACCAUAUAUUAUUCCACCAAUCACAAUAUAACACUCUACAUGUAAAACGCUCAACAAUAUAGCACUCUAUAGUCAGGGGCCAGAUAAGCCUACUACCAUGCAUGAGGCCACAACCAGCCCAAUAGCAUCAGCACCGUUGGAGCCCUGACCAACAUCCAAGCUUUAUCAAGCUCCCUGCAAAUUGCAUUUAGUGUCAAAGCAUCAAUAGAUGAAGUUGCAAAAUGAAUAUCUUAGGGGAAGCUACACUUGGCAUAUACACGGGCAGAGUUGGGUUUAAGUAACCAAGUCGUGUUUAAAAGAGUUAACUGAAGGAGUACAAUUAGCGUGUAACCUGGAAAACAUAUAGCUAGUACCUAUCUAUCAACACAUGUCAUCACAUAGAAGCCAAAUACUAUUAACUAAUAAUUAGUAGAUAGCUACGUAAUGGCUACCACAAGCAAAAGUGACAACAGAAAGAAAAGGGGGACUAGGAGGCAGUAAGGAGAAGCAAUCCACAACGAAGAAAUUAUGCAAAUAACACAUUGAAAAUGGAAACAGAAGAAGAUUGCCUAUCUGUGUGUGUGUGUUGUACAUAGCUUAUUUGUUUAGCCAAUAUAGCUGCAGCAUUAGCACAAAUGCACAAGCAACAUAAAGCAGCAGUAACUACUAACUUAUUGGAUCAACAUGAGCGGCCAGCCAGCCACCAUCGGCAGCAGCAUAGAAGCAGCCAACAGAUAGCAGAAACAAAAUUAGCACGGCAGCAGUGCGUUAGAGCAUCAACAGCAACAGUGCAGCUAGAGGCCUAGAGUAUCAACAGCAUGCUUUGGCAAGACAUGCUUGCAUAAACUCAUGGAAGGAAGGUGACAACAUUUCAGAGUAAUCCAAUUCAAAAUCGGAAUGUGUGCUUUCUACUCAAUAUUAACAGGGAUGUGUGUACCUCUAUGCUUUGGCAUCUCAAUCGGAGGGGGCAAAAAAUAGGCCAGCAAAGUGAAGUCAUCUCUUGUUGCUUCAUGCAAAGCUACAGCCAGCCAGGAAGCAGCAACACCAAGUUUCAUGUGAUUGCAUGGUGGAACCAGCAAAAUAUAUUGUCCUGCAGAUGCAUUCUUAUCACCAUACAAUUAUCACAACUAGUAAUUGCAAGAAAAAGAAAGCUUAAACAAAGGUUACAGCUCGGUAACAGAAGGUUAAUGACAACAGCAGCAGGUCAAUAACAACAGCAUCAAGUCCUGGGAAUGCUUUAAUUUAGUCCAUUUUUUUGAUCAACAACUUAUCCUAAGGACGACAUACUAUCGAACUUUGGAAAAUACAGUGUGAAUAUGACAGCAAUAGCAGCAAGUCCUACACUAAAAUGAGUGUAACGUCCACGAUGCGGCUAUAUCUCCCACGUGUCGAGACACGACUUAGAGGCAUAACCGCAUAGUGGUUUUGUCGCAAGAAGGGUCAUCUUCACACAAUCCCAUGUAAUGAACAAGAAUGGGAUAAGGAGUUGGCUUACAAUCGCCACUUCACACAAUACAUAAUAAAACAUACAUCAUUCAGAGAUACACACAUAGGUCCGAUUACGGAACCAAAAGAAAAGAAGACAACCCAACUGCUAGAUCCCUGAUCGUCCCAACUGGGCUCUAAUUCUGAUCAACAAGAAAAGAAACAACACAACGGACAAGAUCUUCAUCGAGCUCCCACUUGAGCUCAGUAGCGUCACCUGCACUGGUCUCAUCGGCACCUGCAACUGUUUGGAAGUACCUGUGAGUCAUGAGGACUCAGCAGUCUCACACCCGCGAGAUCAAGACUAUUUAAGCUUAUAGGAAAGGAUGGUGUAGUGAGGUGGAGUUGCAGCAAGCACUAAGCAUAUAUGGUGGCUAAACAUACGCAAAUAAGAGCGAGAAGAGAAGCAACGGAUCGGUCGUGAAGCUAGCAAUGAUCAAGAAGUGAUCCUGAACUCCUACUUACGUCAAACAUAACCCAGAAACCGUGUUCACUUCCCAAACUCCGCCGAGAAGAGACCAUCACGGCUACACACGCAGUUGAUGCGUUUUAAUUAAGGUCAAGUGUCAAGUUCUCUACAACCGGACAUUAACAAAUUCCCAUCUGCCACAUAACCGCGGGCACGGCUUCCGAAAGAUAAUACCCUACAGGGGUGUCCCAACUUAGCCCAUUAUAAGCUCUCACGGUCAACGAAGGAUAAACCUUCUCCCGGAAAGACCCGAUCAGUCUCGGAAUCCCGGUUUACAAGACAUUUCGACAAUGGUAAAACAAGACCAGCAAAGCCGCCCGAAUGUGCCGACAAAUCCCGAUAGGAGCUGCACAUAUCUCGUUCUCAGGGCACACCGGAUUGUCCAAGCUUCCGGUAGGCCAGCCCAGAGUUGCCCCUGGUGGCCACCGGCGACUGACAGGUUGGACCAACACUCAGAGGAGCACUGGCCCGGGGGUUUAAAAUAAAGAUGACCCUUGAGUCUGCAGAACCCAAGGGAAAAGGCUUAGGCAGGCAAAUGGUAAAACCAAGGUUGGGCCUUGCUGGAGGAGUUUUAUUCAAAGUGAACUGUCAAGGGGGUCCCAUAAAUCACCCAACCGUGUAAGGAACGCAAAAUCAAGGAACAUAACACCGGUAUGACGGAAACUAGGGCGGCAAGAGUGGAACAAAACACCAGGCAUAAGGCCGAGCCUUCCACCCUUUACCAAAAUAUAGAUGCAUUAAUAAUAUAAGAGAUAUUGUGAUAUCCCAACAUAAACAUAAUCCAACAUGGAGCAAUCUUCAACUUCACCUGCAUCUAGCAACGCUAUAAGAGGGGCUGAGCAAAAGCGGUAACUUAGCCAAACAAUGGUUUGCUAGGAAGGUGACAAAGGUUAGAGGUUCAUGGCAAUUUGGGAGGCUUGAAGAGCAAGUGAAUAGGUAACGCGGCAUAUCAAUAGAGCGAACAACUAGCAAGCAAAGAUAGAAGUGAUUUCGAGGGUAUGGUCAUCUUGCCUGAGAUCCCGCAAGGAAGAAGAACGAGUCCAUGAAGAAGACAAACGGAUGUAGUCGAACGAAUCCUCACAACUCCGGAAAGAAACCGAAGCUAACGAGAGAAGCAACCCAGAAAGAAACAAACAACAUAGUAAACAACCACCACAUACACAUGGCAUGAUGCAAAAACAAAUAUGAUGCAUGUCCGGUUUAAAGAGGCAUGGCAUGGCAAAGUGCAACAAACAACACUACAAAUUAAGUGGAGCUCAAUAUGCAACGAGUUGCAUAUUGACGAAACACCACAUUUAAUUAUUUAGUUCUCUCUCAUUUAUGUACCCAACAAUAUUAAAUGUUAUUAGCCAUGGCAAGAGGUGAAGCAUAAUUAAACAACCUAUCUAGGCAAGUUUAAAUGAGGCCGGAAAUAACAAACGACAAUGCCGGAAAAUCCCCAUAUGUCGAUUAGCAAUUUUUAAUGCAAACAUCAAUUUAGACAUUUUAAAUGUUGUUAUCAUGAUGCGGAUCACAAUGCAAGUUAUAUGCAAUUUUAUAAAACGUGGACACGAGCAUGUUAUGAAGCAUUUGUUACCGCGGUGGAACGAAAAAGGGUGCCACGGCAACGAAUCCGAAAAUGGUGCCACGGCAACAUAUCGGUUCCGGUAGCUCACGGAGAUACCGGCGCAAGGAGAAUUGUGCGGAUGUGUGAAACACGCAAGAGAAUGGUGGGGUGCUCCCGGUUACCGGGUUCCCACGGUACGGCGGCAUGGUAAGGAAACGAGUGACAGCGUGCGACGAACAAGUCGGGCACGGUGCAAACGCAAGCAACUCAAACAACACAUGCUUUCGUUCACGGGCGCCGUUCUCGGGGUUAUACCUUCGAAGCGUGCAUUCGGGGCGGAACGCGUUCGUGUCGAAGGAAGUAGGUGUACACGUUUCGUAGAUGAACUUGACGUAACCAUGCGGUAGUCGAACUUGGCGACGGUAGUGGUACACGUUUUCGUAGAUAUUCGAGUCAACGGUAGCGGUACUUGGUGAAUCCCGAAACAGUCUUGGCGUCUUCGCGCGUAGGGGUACUUGGCGUUUCCGUGUAGUCGGUCUUGCCGGUCCCGGUCUCGGCAACCUAGUUGUACAAGAGCAUCAUCGGACUUGUCGAAUCCGAACUCUUCGAGGGCCAUCGUGGUACUUGGCGCUUGCGGUCUUGACAGCUCGAAGGGGGUGCUUGUCGUCCUCUGUCUUGCGGGUCGUGGUACUUGGCGUGGAGGUAACCAUCGGGCUGCCGUUUGUUGGAAACGAGAUGUACCAGGGAAGAUCAAAGAAGUGGCAGCAGCAACAGAGUUGGCCGAAGGGGACGGCUCAGGCAGGAGCUCCAUAGCACAGCGAUGAGGCCGACGGAGAUGCAACAGGAGAUGGGCGCGGAGGAGGCAAGAAGGCGCGGAGGCGACGGUCUGGAGAGGGAGCUGCAGCGGGGUCGCGGAGAGGCAGGAGGCGCGGCGCUUGUCGGAGGAGGGAGGCGAAGCAGCUCGAGGCAGCGGUGUGCACGGAGCGGUGACGGCCGCCGGAGGCGAGGACGCGGGGUCGAGGCAGAGGCGACCGGCGGGGGACUCGGCGACGGGGACGGCUUGCGGGGGCUCCGGCGAGUGGCGCGGAGGCGAAGGCGCGACGAGCUUGAAGAUGACGACGGCUGCGGCGCGGGGCGACGCUCGAGGGUGGCCGGAGCCAGGCGGCAUCGCCAUGGGAGCAGCUCGGUCGAGCACGAGCUCGAGACGGGAGGAGGCGCACGAGGCGCGUGCGAAGACGAAGGAAGAAGAUAGAGGGCGGCCGACGACGGACUUCGCGCUGGUUGCCGGCGGCAGGAGGCGGAGCGCUGGUGCGAUGCGUGUGUGCGUGUGUGUGGCGGUGCUGGGAGGACGAGAGGGAGAGGGUGAGGAUCGAGCGAUGGGUCUCCCUGGCGGCGCUAGGAGGUUAGACGGGCUAGGGUUAACAGAUUAGUGGCUGGGCUUUGUGAGGCAAAUGGGUCUGCCUGAGUGGUGGGCUGCGGGAGGCCGCGGUGGCCUGGGCCGACUACUGUAGGGAGGCCCAGCUGGGCCGGCUGGGGUCUCUCUCUUCUCCCUCUCUCUCUAAUUUCUUUUAGCAGAAAAGAACUAGAGAGAAGAAAAAGAAAGAUAGGGUUAGGGAAAGAAUUUGCGCAUGGGGAUUAUUUUCCCGGAAUCACAAAAAUGUGCUUGAUCCAGGAAAAAUAGAAGUGGCCUGAUUGGACGAUGUAAAUUCAAAUGAUUUAAGGGAAGUGAGGGUUGGGAAGGUCCAAAAAUGUUCGGAUUUAGGCGGAGCUUCGAUAAAAGAGAUAAGAAUUUAUGGCAAAAGUUUGGAGAACAAACAUGAAGCAAAAGGCAUGAUAAUUAAAUUGCAAGUGUGUUAUGGUGAUUCCAAAGUUAAUGGAAUAUUUUUAAUAUAGCUUCCUAAUAUUGGGAGGAUAUGUUCUAAAGAGAAGUCACCCUUCCCUCGAUUUAAAUAGAUCGAAGAUCCAUGCAGUUUACUUGGUUGAGUUUUAAAAAUUAAUGACAUGAUGGCAUGAUGACAUGAUGCAAUGCAAAAAUAAAAGAGCAAGCACCAAAAGAAACACGCGGUGAUCACGAAAAAAGGAAGUCAUCUAAAGCGUCGGUCCCGGGGCGUUACAACACUCCACCACUACAAGAGGAUCUCGUCCCGAGAUCUAGGACAGCACCGGAGAAAAAUGGUAGAGGAAGAGGUAAGACAAAUUGUUUCUUUGACAAACGAGUGAAACCAAAGAACCUUGAGAGGUUGCAAAGCUUAAAGAAAUGACACGACGGAGGUGAACAAAAUUUAAAACACGCCGUUCAGCAAGAGGAACAAGGACCAUUACAAGAACCUUGUAGGUUGAAGGACAUGAAACAAGUGCUUAACGGAUCAAAAGGAAUAUGAAAGCACACCGGUAGAAAAGAGAAACAAGGAACACCAUGUGAACCUUGAGGUUAAAUGACACGAUAGAUAUUUAAACCACUCCGGUUAAAACAAGAUAGGGAAGGAAUAAGAAUGAUAUAAUUUGGGCAGCACUCCGACUGUAAAUGGAAGGAAUUGAACAUGAUCUUGACAAGAUGAGAGGAUACUCGAUGAAAUUAACAACACAUUGCCUCCGGUACUAAUGAAAGAAUGGCACAAGGGGAAAGAAAGAUUUCAGACCGCACUCCGGUUGAGGAAGAAGACGAAACUUGAUAAGAUGAGAAUACUCGAAUGACAACACGACACUCCGGCUAAACGGUUAAGAAAGGAAAAAUUACAUGAUCUUGACAAAACAAGAUGAUUGGUCGAAGAGGGCAACAUCACAAUGCCUUUGGGACGAACGAAUAGAAGAUAGAUCGUCGGAAUAAGAUAACGGAGAAUAAAAAUGAUAACUUCCACCACAAUUGAAUUUGGGAAGCAUCCUUCCAAGAAGGUUAGAACGGAGUUAUUGGAAAACUAACAACGAAAAGAACAAGCUUGUAGUGGGCUUAUGGAAAACUUCUCAAAAUUAUGAGGUGACAACCCGCCACUAACGGAAACAAAUGAUUGGAUUGAUAUCAACAAGGAGAUGAAAACUUCUCUCGCCGAGAGGAUAGGAGAAAUUUUGGAUCAUUGAUAGACACCAUAAUAGCAAUAUUCCUUAGGGAAGGCUUUAGGUGAAACAUGACACAAGAUAGAUCCAACGAAGAGAUUAAAGGAUUGAAAAGAUCUCGUGAACGAAUAGAAAUUGAUGGUUUUAAAAAUAUGUUAUUCCGGACAACCUGUGAAUCAUGAAACAUGAAGGAAAUUGUCAAAAUUGACAUAACACCAUCCCAAAAGAUAAGAUAGAGAGAAUUGCACUUCAGAAUGCAAGAUGAAGAAUGCUUGAACUCCUCAAAACAAAACAUGUGUUGAACACCAUGUUUAUUUAAGAGUAUAGCUUGGCGGAUCAUAACUCCGAGAGAAAUCUUGACGAACAAUUGAAGAAUGGAAGGAAUCCUUGAUGAGCCACCAUGUUGAUCCUCCAUGAAGAACUCCGAUAAUAAAAGAAUGAUCAAACGAAAGGGAAAAUUGAAAAGAACUCCGGGAGAAGCCUUGCAAUGAUUAGAUGAAGCUUUGAAAUGAUAUAAUUGAAAUAACUUGAAGCUCCGGAAAGAAAAGAUGAACAACUUGGAACCGAGAAUUUGAUAUCAUGAACGAACUCCAAAAGAAAGGAUUAAACACUUGGAUGAAACAAGAAUAAGAAUUACAUUACGCGUAUCCUUCACCAAUUUAGAUUGAUGACAAUCAACGGAUCUUGCAUACUACUUAUUCUCGUAGAAAGGAUUAAGAUAGAUAUUGCGCAAACUUGGGAAGGUCUUCAUCGAAACACCGGUAGGAUUUGGAAACAACGAAUAAAUUGAUAUGGUAACGGGGGAAAAGAAAUCUUGAACGAACCACCGUAAGAAUUGGAAAUGAAAGUAGCAAAGGCACAAUUCAACGGAAAGAAUUAGAAGAUGAAUGAAGAUACUUGACAGAAUUUAGAUACACGAGAACGAAGAGAUCGUGAACUGAUUAGAGGAUAUUUGAACGAUGCACCGGAAGAAUAUGGAGAUGACCGAAGAGACAUCAAUUUAGAAUAAUUGGAGAACGAAGCUGAAAAACUUAGAACGAAGAAAUCUUCUGAAAUGAUGGCCUUCGGAGAAUCAAACUGAAAAGACUCAUGAAUUGCUCCGGAUGGGUAUGAAAAGAAUUCUCACAAUCGAAAAACAAUUAUGAGAGGAUGGCAUAAGCUAGAACCAUGAAUCUUCAAGAGAACGGACCAAGAUUCAAGAGAAAUUCUUCUUCGGUCUUCAAAUGUUGAGAAUGAUGAUGUGAAACACCACCGAGAAUUGUUGAGGCACUCCGGAACAAUGGAUAAUGAAAAUGAUGAACCAACGAUGAAAGAAUUUAAAAGAUCUUGGAGAAAGACAUUUGACUGAUGAUAAUUCAUUCUUACGUCAAACUUCGAAAAGAAUUUGAGAAUAACUCCGGAAAGAAUUAAAAGAGUCAGGUAAGAUCCUGGAAAAAAAACCUGUGGGUUAGGGCCCACUCAAAAGAAACACCGUUGAAUGAUUACUUGAAAAUGAGAUUGCACCGGUUGAAUUAAAUGGCUUGAAUAAGGUAAGACCUCGAAAUAGCUUGAGUGAAUUGAGAAUGGAAACACGAAUCUUUAGAGAUAUCUUCAGCACUCCGGAACAAUUGAAUAGCAAGUGGGGAAUGAUUAAGAGAUAUACCGGCAUGAGAAAGCAUUUGAAAGGAGGAAAGGGCUAUAAUCAACACUGUAAGCUUGAAUAGAAUCCACCGGAGAAGAAAAGAAUGAAGAAUGGUAAACUUGAAGCUUCAUGAGCAUCUUCAUGGAAAAUCACCGGAUAAGAACAUUGAAAGAAAAGAAUGAAGAGACUUCACGUGAAUAAAAUGGAUACUUGGUUACGACAUCUGAUUCCUUGAAGGAAAAGGGUGGGAGGACGGGAAAAACAAAGUCACCUUGGGACGGAUGAAACAAACACCGUUGAAAACAGUUAGAGUUGAUCUUGCGGAUGUUGGAAUGAACGGAUUCACUUGAAGAGAAGCACACCGGUUGGAAAAGAAUUAACAUGACGACCUCGAUGAUCAAGAAGGAUUAGUAUCCACAUAGAAAUAUGAGAACACCGUUUAGGAAAGGUAUGGAAUCUACACUUGUCAUUGAAGCAACUCGAAUACCACAAAAAACAAAACAAAGGAUUGGCUUGCAGAAUAAGCCGGAACAAACAUAUGAUAGAGAUUUCGUCCGAAGUUUUCGUGGUGGGGCCCACACGUGCUCAAUCGUACAGCACCAUCAUGUACAAGGCUGUGCACAUGACAUACGAAGCGUCCCCGAGUCGGCAUAGCCAAGGACUCUUUAAGACACUACGAGACCACUGUAAAACCAACCGUGGAAAGGCGGACCACUAGACGUCGAACCCCAAUCUCAUAUCAUACAUCUGUCGGAAAGAUAUCCUAAGAGCUACUUGAAUUCCCACUUAUAAACUCCCGAAACUUUCUGGUUAUGCAAUCUGGUGUUGGGGAUACAGGGGACACAAAAUAUAUCACCCAAACUAACAAUACCUAGAUCCAGCUGUAUCCAUCCGUCAACACAUAACCAAGAAAACUCCGGAAAUCGUUUACCUCAACCUUCGAAAAGCAUCCGUUAUACAAGUUAUGGCAAUACUCCCGAACUCCCGCCCCAGUACUGGGUGGCGUCGAGGUGAUCUCACCAACAACUGCAUAAAAGAGAUUUCGAUGUCGGCGAAACUCAGGUAUUCCAGAACUGCAACGAUAAAAUUGUGACGACAACACCUCGGAGCUCAACUCCCCGGGACACUGCCACAACCCCUAAAUGUCAGGAGGCACCAAGAACAAUGUUCUCGUCACAAAACCAUCGGAACGAUUCCAAGAUACCCGCGUGAUCCUAAAAAAAAAUUUAGUGAAAUUUGAGGAGAGAAGAGUCAAAACUUCUACGUCAGGAGACCUCACCAGAGCGACGAAGGGACUGAGGAGUAAAAAGAAUCCUACUCUCCGAUAUAUAUAAUCCUAAGACUCAAAAUAUUUUUGUUCUAGACUCAACAACGCCAGCGAUUCGAUCAAGUAAGGGGCUCCUAAGUCGGGAUGGCUCUGAUUACCAACUUGUAACGUCCACGAUGCGGCUAUAUCUCCCACGUGUCGAGGCACGACUUAGAGGCAUAACCGCAUAGUGGUUUUGUCGCAAGAAGGGUCAUCUUCACACAAUCUCAUGUAAUGAACAAGAAUGGGAUAAGGAGUUGGCUUACAAUCGCCACUUCACACAAUACAUAAUAAAACAUACAUCAUUCAGAGAUACACACAUAGGUCCGACUACGGAACCAAAAGAAAAGAAGACAACCAACUGCUAGAUCCCUAAUCGUCCCAACUGGGCUCCACUACUGAUCAACAAGAAAAGAAACAACACAACGGACAAGAUCUUCACCGAGCUCCCACUUGAGCUCAGUAGCGUCACCUGCACUGGUCUCAUCGGCACCUGCAACUGUUUGGAAGUAUCUGUGAGUCACGAGGACUCAGCAGUCUCACACCCACGAGAUCAAGACUAUUUAAGCUUAUAGGAAAGGAUGGUGUAGUGAGGUGGAGCUGCAGCAAGCACUAAGCAUAUAUGGUGGCUAAACAUACGCAAAUAAGAGCGAGAAGAGAAGCAACGGAUCAGUCGUGAAGCUAGCAAUGAUCAAGAAGUGAUCCUGAACUCCUACUUACGUCAAACAUAACCCAGAAAUAGUGUUCACUUCCCGGAUUCCGCCGAGAAGAGACCAUCACGGCUACACACGCGGUUGAUGCGUUUUAAUUAAGGUCAAGUGUCAAGUUCUCUACAACCGGACAUUAACAAAUUCCCAUCUGCCACAUAACCGCUGGCACGGCUUCCGAAAGAUAAUACCCUGCAGGGGUGUCCCAACUUAGCCCAUUAUAAGCUCUCACGGUCAACGAAGGAUAAACCUUCUCCUGAAAAGACCCGAUCAGUCUCGGAAUUCCGGUUUACAAGACAUUUCGACAAUGGUAAAACAAGACCAGCAAAGCCGCCCGAAUGUGCCGACAAAUCCCGAUAGAAGCUGCACAUAUCUCGUUCUCAGGGCACACCGGAUUGUCCAAGCUUCCGGUAGGCCAGCCCAGAGUUGCCCCUGGUGGCCACCGGCGACUGACAGGUUGGACCAACACUCAGAGGAGCACUGGCCCGGGGGUUUAAAAUAAAGAUGACCCUUGAGUCUGCAGAACUCAAGGGAAAAGGCUUAGGCAGGCAAAUAAUAAAACCAAGGUUGGGCCUUGCUGAAGAAGUUUUAUUCAAAGCGAACUGUCAAGGGGGUCCCAUAAAUCACUCAACCGUGUAAGGAACGCAAAAUCAAGGAACAUAACACCGGUAUGACGAAAACUAUGGCGGCAAGAGUGGAACAAAAUACCAGGCAUAAGGCCGAGCCUUCCACCCUUUACCAAAUAUAUAGAUGCAUUAAUAAUAUAAGAGAUAUUGUGAUAUCCCAACAUAAACAUAAUUCAACAUGGAGCAAUCUUCAACUUCACCUGCAUCUAGCAACGCUAUAAGAGGGGCUGAGCAAAAGCGGUAACUUAGCCAAACAAUGGUUUGCUAGGAAGGUGACAAAGGUUAGAGAUUCAUGGCAAUUUGGGAGGCUUGAAGAGCAAGUGAAUAGGUCACGCGGCAUAGCAAUAGAGCGAACAACUAGCAAGCAAAGAUAGAAGUGAUUUCGAGGGUAUGGUCAUCUUGCCUGAGAUCCCGCAAGAAAGAAGAACGAGUCCAUGAAGAAGACAAACGGAUGUAGUCGAACGAAUCCUCACAACUCCGGAAAGAAACCGAAGCUAACGAGAGAAGCAACCCGGAAAGAAACAAACAACAUAGUAAACAACCACCAGAUACACAUGGCAUGAUGCAAAAACAAAUAUGAUGCAUGUCUGGUUUAAAGAGGCAUGGCAUGGCAAAGUGCAACAAACAACACUACAAAUUAAGUGGAGCUCAAUAUGCAACGAGUUGCAUAUUGACGAAACACCACAUUUAAUUAUUUAGUUCUCUCUCAUUUAUGUACCCAACAAUAUUAAAUGUUAUUAGCCAUGGCAAGAGGUGAAGCAUAAUUAAACAACCUAUCUAGGCAAGUUUAAAUGAGGCCGGAAAUAACAAACGACAAUGCCGGAAAAUCCCCAUAUGUCGAUUAGCAAUUUUUAAUGCAAACAUCAAUUUAGACAUUUUAAAUGUUGUUAUCAUGAUGCGGAUGACAAUGCAAGUUAUAUGCAAUUUUAUAAAACGUGGACACGAGCAUGUUAUGAAGCAUUUGUUACCGUGGUGGAACGAAAAAGGGUGCCAUGGCAACGAAUCCGAAAAUGGUGCCACGGCAACAUAUCGGUUCCGGUAGCUCACGGAGAUACCGGCGCAAGGAGAAUUGUGCGGAUGUGUGAAACACGCAAGAGAAUGGUGGGG